rnacentral:rRNA from 1 species
CACAGGUGCUGCAUGGCCGUCGUCAGCUCGUGUCGUGAGAUGUUGGGUUAAGUCCCGCAACGAGCGCAACCCUUGUCAUUAGUUGCUACCGCAAGGAGCACUCUAAUGAGACUGCCGGUGACAAACCGGAGGAAGGUGGGGAUGACGUCAGGUCCUCAUGGCCCUUAUGGGUAGGGCUACACACGUCAUACAAUGGCCGGUACAGAGGGCUGCCAACCCGCGAGGGGGAGCCAAUCCCAGAAAACCGGUCGUAGUCCGGAUCGUAGUCUGCAACUCGACUGCGUGAAGUCGGAAUCGCUAGUAAUCGCGGAUCAGCUUGCCGCGGUGAAUACGUUCCCGGGCCUU